GCAGCUUAAACGGCACUUUUUUUUGGGGGGGAAAAUUACAUGAAAAAGACACGUGAAGUUAUAAUGAACACACAUGGUAAGACAUUAUAAUAACAUAGUUGGGUACACAUAGGCUUAGAGUAAUGUACGUGGGUUACAUGUUGAGGAACAGUAGGGUAAUUGAGCUUUUAGUGCUUGAUAGAGACAUAAGCUUAAAACAGAAAAGCAGUGUCAACAGUAAAGAUUUUGCUUCAAUGCUUGAGAUGCUUAAUAAUGCUUAAAACAAAAUGAAAUGACCACCCCAUGUUAACCCCGUGUCAGCCUGGUGAGAGUCCAUGUCAGCCUUCAUGAUGACCCCUUAGUGUGCAGUGCAAUGUGAUGUAACGUGGUAAAAUGCUUAAUGGCUGCCUUUGCGCUUAAAGUCCCGUUGGCCUUGUAAGGGGGGGUUGAAGCUUUAUUCCUGGGUCACUUGUGUUCCAGCUGAGCACCUGUCUUGGGCAUGUGGUGAGUCCCGGUUUAGUUGCUGUGGGUGGACAGAUCUGCCGAAUUGGGCCCUCAACAGGGGAUUGGGCAUGUGCCAGGUUGGUGCAAGGCCUUGCAACGUGUUCUCCCUUCGGGUCUACCAUCCGCCGGUGUGUCGGGCCGUUAUGCUGCUCCUCCUCAGUUUGUGUGAGGUAAGCGCUUGCUCGCCGGUGCCGUCUUUGGUGCAGUCAGCAAUCCACCUGUAUGGGAGCAGGAGAGGAGGGUGCAUCCGGCUGCUCUGCCAUGCGGUCUCCGCCAUCUUAGGAGUGGACCCGCCGGUCCAUGGGGGGGGAACAGGGCUAGGCCUGCCUAGCCGUGCGUUUCUGCCUUACCGCUGGUGGGCAGGAUAGCUGGGCGGCGGCCGUCCACCCCACUCACCGCCCGGGCGGUCUCCAUCGCGUUCAGCUGGGAGCGCCCCACCGAGGGACUAGAACCUUGCGGCAAGCCUCUCCUCGGGACCAGGGUUGCUUCUUUCGCUGGGGUGUAGGUAUCAGGCUUUUAAUAAUAAUUUUGCUGGGUUUUAGUGCCAAAAACUUGGGAAGUUUUCAGGAGCUAUUCCUCUGUGCUUCCUCUCAGCAUGGCGGCCAGGCCC